UGUGCAAUGACUUGAACACCACUAAUUCCUGAAGUUUCCAAGAGAUGUCCUGGUUUAACAUCAGCACAGUAUCAGGGCGCUGUGGUGUUAGGUGCUGUACAAACAGAGGGAGCCAGAUAGGACUUCCCCUUCAUUCCUAGUGACUGAGGAGAAAACCAGUAAGGCCUCAUCCAGGCUCUAACUCUGAGGUGCAGUGUUUAUGAAAGACAUGGUACAGAAUGCAGCCCAAACUUGCUGACCGCAAUCCUGAGGACUACCUUUGACCUCAACAGGAAUUCAGCAUCAGAGGGAUUGGACCCACUUGUAAUGUAUAGUUUGCCUAAUCUAGACUUUAAGGUCUUUGGGUCAGGGACUGUCUUCCUUUAUGUACUGUAUAGUGUUAAGCACAUUAGUAGGGAAUAAGAAUAAUAUUUUGUAUUGUAUUCCUUGGAGAAGCAUGACAGUGAAUAUUAAUGGUGAUAAUGGGGACUUAGAAUUGUUUUCCAAAUGAAAUCAUUUUCAAUUGCACUUAAUACAGAGUCUUCUACAUGCCAGAGGUUAACAAUACUACAUUCAGAAAUUCUUACAAAUUCUAUUUAAAAAGCAGUGCUUUCUUAUUCCAUAGAAGCUAAAGUUCCAGGCAAGCUCUGUGAAAUGCAAGAUAUGACCUGAAGAAGAGCUCUAUGGAGCUCAAAAGAUUGCCUCUUUCACCAAUGCAAAUUGGUCCAAUAAAAUAAGUUAUUACCUCACCCACCUUGUCACUCAAAUAUUCAUCAGUAAUUUAGAGGUAUUGCUCCAUCUACUGGAACAUCAAUCCACUUGCAAGCUUGAAUUGUCUUCUAUUGUACUGCAGCAAACAGCCAUACAUCAGCAACAAAGAAAUGGGUUGGGCAAACAUCAAAAGGUUUUAAUGUUCCAUGUAGUCAGAUAAGCCUCAACGUUUGGAUGCUUAUCUGAACCCUUUGAGAUCUCUUGUGUGUCUCCCUCAUUGCAAACUAACUCAGCCUAACAAAAUAAGCUUAACUUCUCUGAAUGGGGAGCUAAGAAGAUGUUGUUUGUAGACGUUAAAGCACAGGAUAAGAGUUAUGGAUUCUGUUCUCAGCUCUGCUACUGACGUUUUUUAUAACCACAAUUUAACCUCUCAGUCCUACAGGUUCCUGGGAGGAGAAACAGAGGCAUGGGAAGGGAAAGUGACUUCCCUAAAGUCACAGCAAGUCAGUUGGCCAGCCAGGAAUAGACUCCAGAUCUCCUGGAGCACAAUGUGGUGCCUUAGUCUUUAGACAACACUGCCUCUUUGGAGAUGAACUGAUGUUGUCCCAUUUACAGUAGUAACCAUAGUUAAACUCUAGCUGCAGCUUGCUGCUAUGUGCUGAAUAUUUUCCAGUGUUUUUUUCCAAACAGUACAAACAUUAUGGUAAAUAUGGUAAAUUAUGCCCCCCCCCCUUCAGAAAAUUCAACAUGUUUUUUAAGGAAAUGUAGCAUUCUACCCAUGAAGCAUCACACUUCACACUAGGCAGGGCAAGGAUACCAGAAUGAUUCAAAGAUGAGGCUAGAAAUGAUACUCAAAAGGAGCUUCUUCCCUUGAACCAGGCAAACCCUGGGUAUGCUAUCGUUCUGGGCCCUCAAGGGGAAAUAAGGGUCAGUGCCUAAUUAGGAUAAGGAAAUGCCAAUUUCCACAUGUUUGUGACAAGUUUUGAUAUUAAUGAGUUCAAGGUCAAAUGAAGGGGACUAGUUAGAGGAAAUGGACAGUGAAUGGGAAAGUUGGAUAGGAGGAAACCGAAUAUAAAGCAUGAAAAGGUAAAAUAGGGAGGCAAUGGGGAGUUGGAUACUGGCUGAUCUGGACUAUGAGAAACCUUUAUUUCCCCCCCCCACACACACUUUGUUUUUGUUUGCAUUGAACACCACUGAAGUUUGUUUUGUGCUCUCUGCUAUGGUAAAGCUUUUGCUUGAAUAUUUAUUUUCCCCCAGUGCUCUGUUUCCAAUAACUUUGCACUGAUUUUUACAG